GUCACUCCAUUCCCCUCACUCUGCUAGCCCCAUUCUCAUCCGCUCCCAUGGCCUCGCCGGACGAGACUUUUGCCUGCUCCCCGCGCGUGUGCCCAUCUAUACUUCCUCGUACGUGGCUUGAUUUGAUUGGAACAAAAUAAGACCCGACCUCAUAAAAUUAAGGGGGAGAUGAUUAGAUUAAAAAGAGAAAAGGGAAAGGAUGGAUGAAAGCAUCGGGAGGGAGCAUGCAAGCCGGAUUCGGCCUCGCCCAGCCGCCAUGGAGGCUGCUUCAAUCUCUAGUUACGCCUCGCUCCACAUGCCCUUCCUUCCUUCCCUCAAUGCCUACCUUCACUGGUGCGUUCUUGGCUGUGCCAGAGUGGACACUUCAGCACUGGCUCCACGACUAUGUUGAGGACAUCAAAUUGAUGGAUCGAGGGGGCAGGAGGUGGACGACGGCACGCGGCGGCGGGGAUGGAUGUGCCGGCGAUGGGGACGCUAUUGGGGAUCCGGCGCCAACAGGUCGCGUCGCGGCUCGACGUUCCCGACGGCAGACAGGUCGCCCGCGCCCCCGUCAGGCUCCAAGACCGCCACAACGGCGAAAUGGCCCCGCCUCUGUCGACUGGUGUAGUUUGGACAGGAGCAAGUGCGCCAAUUAAUUCUGAUGCGGUGAGAUGCACAGGGAGGCUUGCAUUGGCAAGGCUAGCAGGAGGCCGUUCUCAGGAGGUCUGCGCGACGACGGCGGUAGGGUGAAUUGAGUUCAGAUCUUUGAACAAAUGAUUGUGAUUUUGUAGCUACAGGGUGCUAUUCUUUAUUAUUACUUGGUUAUCUUCCGAGCCACUGCAUUGAUUCGUACGUAGUUGCUACUUACUCCGACGGAGCCCAGAGAGCGUUUGGUUACUGGAUCUAUCCGUUGGGAGAUGGUAGCACGCGAUAUCUUCAACCGAUUUGGAUGGCGGUCAUGUAAUAGGAUAUGCAAUUAGUUUCCUUAUCUUGUUUAUGCCGACCGGUUGUGGCGCUAUGGUUACUUCUUUACAGGCUCUAUGUGAGUUUUUUUUUACUUUCAUUACAACUUUAAGACCUUUCUUGAACCUAUUUGCUUUUUAAUAAAGUUGGCCGAAUGCAUCGUUCUGAUGCAGAGGCUGGGGAG